AAACCAACCGGGAUUGCCUUAGUAACGGCGAGUGAAGCGGCAAAAGCUCAAAUUUGAAAUCUGGUACCUUCGGUGCCCGAGUUGUAAUUUGGAGAGGGCAACUUUGGGGCCGUUCCUUGUCUAUGUUCCUUGGAACAGGACGUCAUAGAGGGUGAGAAUCCCGUGUGGCGAGGAGUGCGGUUCUUUGUAAAGUGCCUUCGAAGAGUCGAGUUGUUUGGGAAUGCAGCUCUAAGUGGGUGGUAAAUUCCAUCUAAAGCUAAAUAUUGGCGAGAGACCGAUAGCGAACAAGUACAGUGAUGGAAAGAUGAAAAGAACUUUGAAAAGAGAGUGAAAAAGUACGUGAAAUUGUUGAAAGGGAAGGGCAUUUGAUCAGACAUGGUGUUUUGUGCCCUCUGCUCCUUGUGGGUGGGGGAAUCUCGCAUUUCACUGGGCCAGCAUCAGUUUUGGUGGCAGGAUAAAUCCAUAGGAAUGUAGCUUGCCUCGGUAAGUAUUAUAGCCUGUGGGAAUACUGCCAGCUGGGACUGAGGACUGCGACGUAAGUCAAGGAUGCUGGCAUAAUGGUUAUAUGCCG
rnacentral:rRNA from 1 species